ACCGAAUAGAUACCCAGGUAGUCCACGCCCUAAACUAUGCGAACUGGAUGUUGGGUACAUUACGGUACUCAGUGUCGAAAGCUAAACGCGUUAAGUUCGCCGCCUGGGGAGUACGGUCGCAAGACUGAAACUCAAAGGAAUUGACGGGGGCCCGCACAAGCGGUGGAGUAUGUGGUUUAAUUCGAUGCAACGCGAAGAACCUUACCUGGCCUUGACAUCUGUCGAAUCCUGCAGAGAUGCGGGAGUGCCGCAAGGAACGACAAGACAGGUGCUGCAUGGCUGUCGUCAGCUCGUGUCGUGAGAUGUUGGGUUAAGUCCCGCAACGAGCGCAACCCUUGUCCCUAGUUGCCAGCACAUCAUGGUGGGAACUCUAGGGAGACUGCCGGUGACAAACCGGAGGAAGGUGGGGAUGACGUCAAGUCCUCAUGGCCCGUUACGG
rnacentral:rRNA from 1 species